GAUGAACGCUGGCGGCGUGCUUAACACAUGCAAGUCGAACGGUGAAGCAGGAGCUUGCUCUUGUGGAUCAGUGGCGAACGGGUGAGUAACACGUGAGCAACCUGCCCCUGACUCUGGGAUAAGCGCUGGAAACGGCGUCUAAUACUGGAUAUGUGAUGUGACCGCAUGGUCUGCAUCUGGACAGGAUUUCGGUUGGGGAUGGGCUCGCGGCCUAUCAGCUUGUUGGUGAGGUAAUGGCUCACCAAGGCGUCGACGGGUAGCCGGCCUGAGAGGGUGACCGGCCACACUGGGACUGAGACACGGCCCAGACUCCUACGGGAGGCAGCAGUGGGGAAUAUUGCACAAUGGGCGGAAGCCUGAUGCAGCAACGCCGCGUGAGGGAUGACGGCCUUCGGGUUGUAAACCUCUUUUAGCAGGGAAGAAGCGAAAGUGACGGUACCUGCAGAAAAAGCACCGGCUAACUACGUGCCAGCAGCCGCGGUAA
rnacentral:rRNA from 1 species